rnacentral:rRNA from 1 species
UACGUAGGGAGCAAGCGUUGUCCGGAUUUAUUGGGCGUAAAGAGCUCGUAGGCGGCUUAGCAAGUCAGGUGUGAAACCUCCAGGCUCAACCUGGAGACGCCACUUGAUACUGCUAUGGCUUGAGUUUGGUAGGGGAAGACGGAAUUCCUGGUGUAGCGGUGAAAUGCGCAGAUAUCAGGAGGAACACCGGUGGCGAAGGCGGGUCUCUGGGCCGAUACUGACGCUGGAGGAGCGAAAGCGUGGGGAGCGAACAGG